rnacentral:rRNA from 1 species
UACGAAGGGGCUAGCGUUGCUCGGAAUCACUGGGCGUAAAGGGUGCGUAGGCGGGUCUUUAAGUCAGGGGUGAAAUCCUGGAGCUCAACUCCAGAACUGCCUUUGAUACUGAAGAUCUUGAGUUCGGGAGAGGUGAGUGGAACUGCGAGUGUAGAGGUGAAAUUCGUAGAUAUUCGCAAGAACACCAGUGGCGAAGGCGGACUCACUGGCCCGAUAACUGACGGCUGAGGCACGGAAAGCGAUGGGGAGCAAACAGGGAAUUAAGAAACCCC